UGCUUCGCGACCGGUCUACCACCGGGAUGUUCAUAACCCUUUGUUGUCCGACUCUGUUGCCUCCGGGGCGACCCUGCCUUCGGGCGGGUGCUCCGGGUGGACACUUCAAACUCUUGCGUAACUUUGCAGUCUGAGUAAACUUAAUUAAUAAAUUAAAACUUUUAACAACGGAUCUCUUGGUUCUGGCAUCGAUGAAGAACGCAGCGAAAUGCGAUAAGUAAUGUGAAUUGCAGAAUUCAGUGAAUCAUCGAAUCUUUGAACGCACAUUGCGCCCCCUGGUAUUCCGGGGGGCAUGCCUGUUCGAGCGUCAUUUCACCACUCAAGCCUCGCUUGGUAUUGGGCAACGCGGUCCGCCGCGUGCCUCAAAUCGACCGGCUGGGUCUUCUGUCCCCUAAGCGUUGUGGAAACUAUUCGCUAAAGGGUGCUCGGGAGGCUACGCCGUAAAACAAACCCAUUUCUAAGGUUGACCUCGGAUCAGGUAGGGAUACCCGCUGAACUUAAGCAUAUCAAUAAGCGGAGGAA
rnacentral:rRNA from 1 species